rnacentral:lncRNA from 1 species
GUCACACUUUUGCAACCGGACCAUUGAGGCGUUAUUGAGGAAAUACAAUGUCAAUCAUAAGGUUUCUACACCUUACCAUCCUCAAACGAAUGGCCAAGCCGAGGUUUCCAACCGAGAGAUCAAGCAAAUACUUGAGAAGACCGUUGGGCCAACACGGAAGGAUUGGAGCUUAUGGUUAGAUGAUGCACUUUGAGCGUAUCGUACGGCGUACAAAACCCCCAUUGGGAUGUCCCCCUUCCGACUUGUCUAUGGCAAGGCGUGCCAUCUUCCCGUUGAAUUGGAGUACAAAGCACUUUGGGCCAUCAAGAAGUUUAACAUGAACCUCGAUGAAGCGGGAAGUCAAAGGAGUUUGCAAUUGAAUGAGCUUGAUGAGAUACGGCACGAGGCGUACGAUAAUGCAAGCAUUUACAAGCAAAAGACCAAAGCUUUCCAUGACAACAUGAUCCGUGGGAAAUCAUUCUCAAUUGGGCAGAAAGUGCAAUUGUUCAAUUCCCGUUUACGUUUGUUUCCCGGUAAGUUACGUUCUAAGUGGAUUGGACCGUUUGUUAUUACUAAUGUUUUUGUUCAUGGUGCAGUCCAAAUCCAAAGCUUGAAAACGGGACAAGAAUUCAAGGUGAACGGGCAUCGUUUGAAGCCCUAUUAUGACACCUUUGUGGAGCAUGCCGUGGAUGACAUACCCUUGAAUGCCGUGGGCCCUAGUAAGGAGUGAAUGAGGUCUUCGUCCGGCUAUACGAUGUUAAAGCAAGCGCUACUUGGGAGGCAACCCAUGCAUUCAACAAAGGAGGACAUAGAGAGCACUCCAAUUCCAGAUUUGCGUUCCUAAACCCUUCUCUUUGUUGUUGUUUUCAUUUAUGCCAUGUUAAAUUGCUUAGUUGCUGUUUUGUUUGUUUGUUUGUUAUUUGUGUUAGUCUAUGCUUGAAACAUUGAGGACAAUGUUUGAUUUAAGUGUGGGGGGGUAACCAAAGUGUUUUGAUGCAAAUUCGUAGGGUUUUCUCACUCAUAAUUUCUAAUGUUGUUUUUCACUAUUUUUAAGCCUUUUUAAGCUGUUUUGGUGUGUUUUAGUGUGUUUUAAGUAAAAAAAUCCGAAAAUCCCAUAAAAAUUUGAAAAUUUGUUUUAAAAACCCAAAAAGAGUUGUUUUUGUGUGUUUGUUUGUGUCUUAGGGUACCUUCCAACACAAUGAUGAGGAUUUGGUUUUAAUUGCAUAACUGUUGAAGUAAGUUACAAACAUGGAUGAAAGUUUGAUAUGCUCUUUGGUUUAUGCUUAGUUGUAAUUAUAGUUCAUGAAUUCACAUGUAAUCAAAAGAAAAAUUAGUUUUUGUAAAAUGCUUGAAGGAAGAAACUCAAAAUAACGUUACAACCCUGAGAGACUUGAGCUUUUAACGUUCUUUGGAGAGUUAAUAAUCUAUGCAUUUGUUGUCUUCUAAAGUCGUUGCAUGAUCUCAUUAUUCUAAAGCCCGUUUCAUUCAAAGCAUAAAAUUGAUUUGCAUAACACAUAUUCAAGAUAAAGUUGUGUAGUGACCACCACCAUAGCCAAAAAGCCGUGAAUCCCUAUGUCAUUAUGUUUUGUAGGUGUUAACCCCAUUGAGCUUUGUUUAGCCUUUUCUUUGUUAACCCACAUUACCCUCACCUAGCCUAGAUUAGGACUAUCCAUACCCUCGUUCUUAAAGUAUAGUAAGCAUGAUUCAAAUUGAAUUCCUUUGUGCAGAAAAACAAGUGUGGGGGAAGGGAUUUAUGUGUGGGAAUUUGUGCCAAAUUCAAGAAUUGGGCACGAGAAAAGUGAAAAAAAAAAUGUGAAAAGAAUGAAAAAGAGGUCAAAAUAAGUAAGAAAGAACUCACAAGUGUUGGUUGUUGAAGAAAGGGUCCAAAAAGUUAAAUUAGACCCUAAGUAUUGUGUAUUUCAUCCCCUUGUGUGUCUAAGUGAUUUUCUGCACGCAAAAGUGAAUUCUAAGUGUCAAGUUCAUUACUUGUUUGCUAUCGCUUUAAGAACUUUUGUUUAUCCUUAACCUUUCUUUGUUAACCAAUACCCCUUAGCCCCGUUACAAUCCUUAACUUCUAUCUUGAGUGUUAUGUAUUUCAAUAUGUGGAGUUUGGGAUUGGUUUGAGCAUAUGGUGUCCCUGGUUCUCGCAUCUAAGUAGUAGCAUUCCAUUCAUGAGAUCAUAUCUAUAAAUGCUUAAUCAUUCCAGAAAAGUGCUUCUUUUGUUAUAACAUGUGUGAGUGUUCGUUUUCAUGUUUACAUCAAUCUUCUCACAUGUACUUAGUAUAGGGAGUGUAGUUAGAAAAUCUGUGUGAAAAUAAGAGUGUAUCCAGUAAGGAAUUGAGUGGAUUCUCUAAGGCAUGUUACUACGUCCAUAAUGUUGUUUUAAACGAUUAAAUGUGAGCUAGUGAAUGGUGACUAUGAUUAAGUAUGUGCUUAAGUGUUAAAUUGACUCAAUUAUGUGGGAAUGAUAAUCUUUAACAUGUCAUGUGCAUUGGAAAUCCCUAAGGAAAACGUUGGAAGGUUUAGGUUGUUUUUGUUUGUUUGGUUUGGUUUUGUUUUUCUUUUGUUUCUUUGUUUUGCUCGAGGACUAGCAAAAGCUAAGUGUGGGGGAAUUUGAUAGGAGCAUUUUUAUGCGACUUAAUUGGCUUGUUCUCAUGCAUUUAUGUUGUUUUUCCUUAGUUAGUUUAGUGUUUAAAGUCAUUUUCAUGCAAUUUCAGGUUUUAUUGUCAAAGUAUGCAAAAAUGAGCAUUUUGGAGCUUUUAGGAGCAAAAUUGGGCUUGGAAUGAAGUGCAUAUGCAUGGAGCAAGGAGUUUGGACGAAUUUGAAGUCAAAACAUCAAAUGAACAUGUUAAAAAUCUGGUGAAACAAAUACAAGUUGCAAGAAGGGAUAGGUUUCUAGAAGGAUUGACCAAAAUUCCACUCAAAAACAUGUUCACACCAAAAAUCACAUCCUUGCCGUGCAUCCUUGAUGCUUUCACACCAGAAAAUUGAGUGAAUGAUUCAAUACCUAACCAACUAGGAAAUUGAAUAAAUGAUUCAUCCCUAAAAUCACAUGCUUGCCGUGCAUUCUUGUUGCUUUCACACCAUAAAAUUGAGUGGAUGAUUCAAGACCUAACCCACCAUUAUUCUCCACAUGCUUAUCGUAUAUCCUUGUUGUUUUCACACCAGAAAAUUGAAUUAAACAAGUCCAUCCUCUCCCUAUAAAUACCCAUGGCAGCAGCCUCAUUGAGGACAUCCAGAAAUUAACCAUUCUCCAACCUUGUGUUGCAACAAAGAAGAAGAGGAAAGUUCUUGUACGUGCUUGCUAUCCGACAUGGAUCGUUGGAACGUUUAGGUGUUUUCUUUCUUUUGUUUUCAAUGUAUAAUUCUAUUUAUCUUUGCUUUGUGAACAUGAGGAACUAAACCCCUAUUUAGUUAGGGGGAAGUUUGAAGCCAUGAACAUGCUUGUGAUAUGAAUUGAUUUCUUCCAAUUGUGAUUUGAUAAGUUGUGAUUGCAAUUCAAUUAUCUAUUUUCUUCAUAACUAAUUCUUGUAUGUUUAUUAAGGAUGCAUACUUAGUUUUCAUACAUGAAUUAGAUGCUAGAAUAUAAAUGAGUUUCACCUAAUUGUUACAAGUUUAUAUUCAUGAGUAGUGAAGGUUGCUUGUCACAAUCGCGUUAAUUGAAUUCUUGGCAAACGUAUCAUGCAUUCAUAGUUACAAUUGCCUCGUCGACACUUAUGAUUUUCAUUGAACGUAAUGAUCUCUGAUUGUAUCUCUAUUAUGCAUUCAUAUAGGGGACUUUUAGAGAAUAAUUUGGAUUGUCGCAUGCAUUCAUCCAAUUCAAUAAGUAAAGGAAAAUCUGAGGGUUAAUUUGUGCAUCACGGUCAAUCUGGAGUGUUGAGCAUCAUAGUUUAUUGAAAAGCAAUUGGAAAUCGAUUCAUGUACAAGUGUGUCAUGUGUGAAGAACGGAUCUCUAACUAAUCCAUCCACCAUCUUAUUUCUCAAAUCGUUUUAUAAUCUGCCUAGCUAAAAAUCUAUUUAAGUUUUAGUUUAUUUGUUUUAUUUUCAACUUCACCAACCCAAAUCCCCCUUUUACUCUCUUGUUUUAAAGUCUUUUGUUUACAUUUUUAACUUUGUUUCUUUUUGUUUUUGAGUCAGUUUAGAGGUUUUAGCAAACCCUCCUAAUCCCCGGUUUAGAACGAUCCCUACUUACAUACUUUGCUACAAUUGUCAAAAGAGGGUUUAAUUUGUGUGCUUAUAAUAUUUCGCAUCAGUAACUUAUCGGGGAAAAACUGAGCUGAGUCAGACCUUCCGAGUUCGACGUCCAAAACUCGGUCAAAACGUGAUCUGAAGGUAUGGUUGUGCUAGUGGGUUCAAGGGGAACACGAUCGUGUGGUUUUCAGGUCAUGUUUGUGAGCUUUUGGUGCUAUUUGAAAGAGUUGCAAAGUGAGAGAGUGAGAGAGAGCGUUUGGGGAGAAAGAAAGAUAAGAGAAAGAGUGCUAAGUUUUCUGGUUGGUGGGUGCAAAUGAUUGUGAUGAAGUUUGAUUGGUUGCUUCCACAGGAGGGAAAGCAAUUUAUUAGGUGGUGAGGAUGGUUUCAAGAGUUUGACUGCUGAAUGUGUGAGGUGAAAGGGAGAUCGGAUCCACCAAUUAGGGAAAGGGAAAGAUUUUCGGAUUUUGUACAAUUUUAAAUGUACAAAAUCUGUAGGAACAAUGUUUCCAACAUUGAUAAAUUUGUACAUAUGUGUACCAAAAUUACUCAUGGUUAACGUACUUUAACGAAUCGUAACUUUUUCGUUACAUAUCCGAUUCGGGUCUAACUCGUGCUCACGCGUUUAUAACGACGAGUACUAAUUAAGUACGAAACCAAGAAAAAGAAACUGAAAGUUGAAAACCAUGUCCAUGUCAAGUUCCACUUUUGUCCAAAAAAGGGAUAUAAUCAUCAAAUUACACCAACGGAAAAGAAAUUACAGUGACAAAUAAGGACGGGUCAUCACAUUUGUACCCAUAAUUUGUACCCAUAAUUUAUUAAUAAUGUUCCCAUUUGUCUUUAAAAUUGUACCACCUUGUUAUAUGCAAAAUGUACCGAAUUUCUUUUUUGCAAGUACCACCUCUUUUGUGUAAAAUGUACCCAUUGUUUUUUUAUAUGAAAUGUACCCAUUAUAUAAAACGUAUCACUUUUUUGUAUAAAAUGUACCAACUUUUUAUAUGUAAAUUGCAUCAUAUAAAAAUUAUCAAUUUUUUGUAUGUAAAAUGUCAUUAAUAUAAGUAAUGACAAAUCAUGAGUUUCAUUUAAGUAUAAUUUCUUUUAAUAUUUUCAACAAAUUAUGGAUUUUAUUUAAAAUCUCAUUAAUAUAAAUAACUACAAAUAUCAAAUUUUGAUUUAAAAAUUAUAAUAACCUACAUAGAAAUGUAUUAUUGCAUUAAUUUUAGAGACUUCAAGCAAAAACCAAAAACAAACAAGAUUUCAAUCAAAGAACGUUGAUAAAUAAGGACCGCAUCCAAAGCUACCCUUAUUUAAAAUUCUAAAUACAUAAAAACAUAUAAAAAAGAAAUAAAAAUAAAAAUAAACAAAUUUAAAAAGGAUGGUUUUGUGUAAAAUCAAUAAAAACUUUCAAUAUGAACAAUAUUUAUGUAACUUAUAAAUAGGUCAAUCAUGUAUUGUGAUACUCAAAUGCAUUUAAAAUAAACAAAAAUUACAAAAUUUGCCACUUCAAUUGGCACUCUCUUUCUUCUAGUUUAUAUAUUUUGGAAUAAGUUAAUACAAAUCAGAAACUGCAUUGCAGUGUCUGUUUCUUGAUUCUUUUUUUUUUUCAAUUAUUGGUUUGUUUUUUCCAUCACGCACACGCCUCCUACAUGUUCAUUUUUACAUUUAGAUUCAGACACUACAAUGCAGUGUCUGUUUCCUGGUUUAGUUUUUUACUUUUGAAUUCAAACACUGUGUUGCAAUGUCCAUUUCCUAGUUCUAUUUUUUCCAUCAGUCACACGUCUCAUACUCUUCACACCUCACACAACUCUUGAUUUCUAUUGUAAUGCAGUGUCAAUUUCCUGGCUUAGUUUUUUACAUUUGGAUUCAAACACUGUAAUGCAACGUCUGUUUCCUGUCUAUAUUAUUUACAUUUAGAUUCAGACACUGUAAUGCAAUGUCCGUUUCCUGGUUCUUUUUUUUUAGUUAAGCGACCUCCUCCGUGUAAACGAAGGGCAAGAGAGAAAGAGAGAGAAAGAGAGAGAAAGAGAGAGAGAGUCAUAGAAUAUUCAUAUUCUAACUAUUUAUAGGAUUCUGAUCCUCUCUGAAUCAGUUCCAUGGGGAUAAUCCAACGGCCAAAACCUCUUCCCCUUCCUCUCUUCCCCCUCAACUCUUUCUCCCUACCGUCACACCUCACCGUUGUUAACAAUGUUAUGACUUGUUCAUCAAAAUAUUUUAUUUUAUUUUUAAGACAUGUGUAUUAACUAUUUUUCCCCUGAGUGUGUGUCUUAAUUAAUUUUUUAGCCGCGCUAGUACAAAAGUAAGUAAACAACCUCUGGUAUUUAUGGGUCGAGAUGUUGGUCAACAAAUUAAUGUGACUUGUGAAGUACAGCAAUACACAAGUCGUUAGUUAUUUGUUUCCUUAUUUUUUAAUUCUAAUUAUAAUUGUCUAAUUGAUUGAAAAUGCUUAUAUACAUAAUUAGUUAACCCUUCCAUAUAGCCUAGAAAAUGAUAAUCCUCUAUACUGAGAUAUAUUAUAAGACCAAUAAGUUGAUUUGAGAUCUCGCUAUCAACCAAAUGUAACUAUAAAUGUAGUUGUCAGUGUCACUAUAAUUGUUACUGUUGCUUAAAAUAUAACUACCUUGGUGCCCAAAGAAUCCUCUUACUAUGAUGCAGUUUAGACCCAUUAAUUGCAUCCCUCCCAAUAACUAAAAAGUGUAUCGUGCCUGAAUAUAAUUGGGUUCGCGACCAUGGAACAAAAAAGCACUCUCGGAUGAAAAAAAAUAAAAUAAAAUAAAAAUUCCCUGGUGCAGUUGGGCCAUCCUGGAAUUGAACCGUAUCGUAAUCUCUAAAAGAGCAAGGUGCGUUUUGUUAAAUAUCAUUUAAUAUCUGAUAACAUAACCCCCCCUUCCCCGCCAAGGGAGUUAUUCAUGUUCAAGCAAGUUUCAACAAUACCAUUGUGUAUCAAUUUUAGUAAGCUAUUCAAUGGUUCCUUUUGGAUAGGCCUGUUUUAGCACGUUUCCACAAAAGGUAACCGGUUAGGUUGACUUUGGAAACGCUACUAAGGACCAGUUGGAGAAUGAAAAAUGUCUGCGGGUUUGAUUUUGAAGUGUAGUUUUCCACUCUAUUUUCAACUGUAUAUAACAAGGGGUUCUUUUUCACCUUUCCCUCACGGUACUUGUACGCUCAAGGUUAAUAUCCUUAUACUUUCUUAAGUUUCAUAAUUAUAUUCUCGUACGUCAGUUCAACGUUGAAAACGAAAUUUGAAUCGAAGUUGUGAGGACUUAAUUGUAAAUUUAUGAUUAAUGGAGGAGCAAAUUUGUAAUUCACUUAAAAUAAUUUUAAGUGAGGUUAUAACCCACUCCGAUACUCUCUCUCUCUCUUCUCCUUCAUUUUUUAAACUCACUCUCUUUCUGACCUUCCAACACUCUCUCUCCAAGCUUAGAGAGCUUCACUCUUGCUUUCACUUCGAUUCCCUCACCAAUCCAGCUCCAAAAUCACAUAUUUGACAUCCCUGAGACUCAAGGAACACGAAUAUGGUCUUGCAUGUUGCAUCAGAGCAUCGUAGGGUAAUCCACCAUUAAAGCCGAGAGCCUUUAGCUCUAUUCUUGAAUACCAGGUGAGAUUUCUCGUUUAACCUUUAUAUUUUUGGGUUAAAUCUUGUCUGGAGUUGGUUUGUAAUGAAAUUUGGGGGCUUAAACCUCUGCGAAUCAUAUGUGCUUGCAUGUUUGUCUCUGCGGCAUUUUGCCGUUGAGUUUGAGGUUGGCGAUGGCCUUCAAUGCCUCUAAUCUCUAUGUACUUCAACCUUAUUGGAAUGUGAGGUUUGGGGUUCAUUAAUCCAACUCUAAUCCAUGCAUGCAUUCAUUUUUUCUGUUUCCAGUUUCUGGCGAGAAAAUGAGGACGCAUUCUGGAGAGUUUGAAGUCAAUUUCCCUCCAAAACCUGUUGCAGGGCACUUGGGGUAAGUUCUUCAGUCUAUUUGUGGGGGGUUUUGAGAUAUAAUUUGUUAGAGUAAAUUUGAAAUCUCUAACAUAAUUCGUGUUGAGAACCUCUGUUUUGAUGCAUGCAUGCUCUCAGUUUUAUUCUGCAGAAUCCGGUGCGUUUUUCCGAGCAGAAGUCUUCAAAUCCGAGGUGGAUUCGACUUCCCCUCCUCCUAAACUCCUAAGGCUUUAGGAUUAAUUCAUGGUGGUUUUGGUUGAAAAACCCUUCGAUUUGGUGCUUGGAGAAGAUCCAUGACCAUCUAUCUGUUUUGAGUAGUGUUCGUGGCAGGAAUUUCCGUUGGGGAUGUUUCCUGGCCGAUGAGCACACAGCUCCCCUGGAGGUUGGGGCCGGUUGAGGGCUGCUGUCGGGCUUCUGCUUCGUUUCUGGGCGUUGUCGGGCAAGUCUCGUCGGGCAAGACUCUUCGGGCAAGGCUCUUCGGGCAGGGUUGAAAGAGAAGGACAGCGUUAACUUUGAGAGGUGUCUUUAUGGGGCCUUAGGUAUAGGCCUUGAGGCUCACAAUCAAGGUUAACAUUUAGGUGCUCAGGCGUGCCACUGCCAUUUUUAGCAUGGCAGAUGUAAAAUGGUUGUCGUUCUUUCAUUGUAUAUAUGUAUGUAUCCAAGAAACCGUGUUAGUUAUAAUAGGUGCCUUUGGGGCCUUAACUGUAGGCCUUGAGGCUUCCCAUAAAUAACUAAACCAGUGCUCGAACGCAUCAUAUUUAUUCUCGUGAUUGUAGGAGUUUUCUAACUAUUAUAUUUCUGAUUACCCGAAUCCAAGGAAUAGAACGAACCCAAAUGGGUGCCUUUGUGGGGCCUUAGGUGUAGGCCUUGAGGCUUCCCAUCAGAGUCCAUUCUUUACUUAGACUCUUGAGAUCGCUGAAUGGGAUGAAUCCAAAUGGAUGCCUUUGUGAGGCCUUAGGUGUAGGCCUUGAGGCUUCCCAUUAGAGUCCAUCCCAUGCUUAAGUGUUCUAUGAUAAUCAUGAUAUAAUAGAAAGAAAACUAGAAGGUAGGUCGAUUACUUACGCCCCAAGUAACUUCGGACUUCUCGUUUAUCAAGGAUUGUCUUGGAUGGGUUAAGUCCACAUAAAGUUCUUUUUUAUGCCUUGAGGCCAAGGACUUUUAAACUAAUCAGAUUCAUAUGCCUGCGGGCUUAGGACUUGGAUCUGAUUUAAGCAUUAAAGAUAUAUUUAAAUCGGAUCCAAGUAUUGAGAAAGCUUUGUCAUUGGAUUUUGCUAGAAACAACUUGCAUAUAACUAAAAAUAUACAACAUAUUGCUAGACUCUAAAGAAAGAGAAGACAAAGACAGAGCAAAGCAGGUUGGGCAAGAUUAAACCUUAUCAAUUAAGGCUGAUCGUCUUGCAGGUCCCUAUCUUUGUGGUUCUGUCAAAGGUCUGAAAGCUUAGAGGUGGAGAGGGGAAAGGUGAAUACAAAAGGGUGAAUCGAUACUACAACAAGUUAGAACAAGGUAGCAGAGCUAUUACAAAGUUUAGGAGAAAAGAUUAUCCCGAGGGGGAUGAAGGCUUGGGCUGACUACAGCUUCGUUUUGAAAGGCAAAUCUGGCUUUUUGAGCAGAGUUUGUGCUUUUGUUUGUUUGUUUGAGUGUCCUUAAUCCUGUCUUCUCUUCCUCCUUUUAUAGACAACUCGGUUUGGCUCCUGUAGCGAUAGCUUUGCCCGAAUGCGGUUUAAGGGUGAUGACUCAUUAGCUUUAUUACAUGUAAUGCCACCAAAAAGUACUUGAUGGGCUGUGCAGUCUGAUCAGUCUACACCACUUCGUCCUUGGGUAGGUAAGCAAGUGGCCCUUUUCUUGCUCCCUAGGUUUCAUCCGGACCUUCUGUUGGGCCGACUCCACCUUUGGGCCUAAAGUUCAGUUUUAACCCAAACAGUGCCCCCUUCAAUUAAUGUGAAGGUUGGAAUCCCAAGCGUCGACAUUGAUUGAAUACCUGCAUGCAUGCAUAUCCGUCUUUGGGAAUUGGUGCUUCCGGUGCCCCUUGCUCUUCUCACGACCCUUGAACUGCCCCUUGAGCCCUAUAAAAUUUAGCUCGGGACUUCUUCAAUCAAACUACCAACUUCCCUUUGGCUCUGGCCUUCAACUUCCAUCCCUUUUGAGCGUUCUUGUUUCCUCUUAGCAACUGAGAAAUGGGUUCCUUAGGUUUUGAGUGGAGUUUCCUAAAACUCCCAUUUCGUGAGAAAAUGAGGUUUCACCUGAUGAUUGCUAUCUCCAACACCCUUGGUCGACCGCCCCUCUAUCUCCAACACCCCUGGUCAGGUGGCUUCCUCCUGGUGGUUUGCCUUCCCGCAAGUUGCGGUGAUAAGUUGGGCUUCACCAUCACAUAUGGUGACAGCCUCGUCAGAGGAUCCUCUACCAGGCCCAUGUUGGCCGCACAACCCGAUCACCCGAUUGGGUUCCAUCCAUGAAGACGUCGGGCAAUCAGCUGAGGACACCACCAUACUCAGAGAGAAUCAAAUGUAAUACAUAGGAUUGGAACUCUGUAAAAUUCCAUCAAUUUGUCGACAUGAAACAAAUACUAUUUUAGCAAUUUCUGUCUUUCUGCCUUCUUUGAAUGUUUGAUGAACACAAAACACUGCAUAUGAGAUUCCCGAAGCUCGCUUCACUCUGCCCCCUCUUCAAUGUAACAAUCCCUAACAUCCCAUAAUGUAGGACAAUAUUUCUUUAAGAAUCUAACAUUAAUGGGAUGUUUCUGCCCAUUUCCUUCGAGGUCCGCUAGGUAGUAUCCUCUUUUAUUCAAGACUCGAUUAAUAAUGAAAUGACCUUCCCAUGUCGAGCUCCACUUUCCAAAACCCCGAAGCUGAGCUCCCAGUGGGAGGACUGUUUUCCAUACUAAAUCUCCCUCUUUGAAAGACUUUACCUUCACCUUCUUGUUAUAAGCUCGGGCAACAGCUCUCUUUCCUUCUUGAAUCUGGUUCAAGGCUUCAAUUCGGGCUGCAUCCAGGUCUUCAAUACCUUGACACAUGGCUUCGAUAUAUUCUGCACUAUGUAACCCAAAUUGGUUUUGAAUUCUUACGGAACUAACGUUGAUCUCCAUGGGGAGCACUGCAUCUUGCCCGAACGUCAAGGCAUAAGGAGUCGUGCCUGUCCCCGCUCUUUUGGAAGUCCUGUAUGCCCACAAUGUGUUCCCCAACAUCUCAUGCCACUUUUCUGGACUAUCUAUCACCAUUUCUUUUAAUAAUGUUGACCAAGAUCUUGUUGCUAGCUUCGGCCUGCCCAUUUGACUGAGGGUAGUACGGACUGGAUUGGAUCAUCUUUAUCUCUUGUACUUGUUUGCAAAACUCGUCGACUUCUUUUGAAAUAAAAGAUGGCCCACGGUCUGUCACUAUAGUCUAGGGCACCCCAUAUCUGUGUAGGAUCUUGGUCUCGAUAAAAUUCUUGACUACGGUGGAAGUUAUGGAUUUUACUGCUGAUGCUUCCACCCACUUGGUGAAGUAAUCCGUUGCUACAAUUAUAAAAGUAUGCCCUUUACUGGAAGCUGGAUAAAUUUGCCCGAUGAAGUCCAUCGCCUAUCCUCGGAACGGCCAAGGCUUGACCACGGGAUUUAAAGGUACUGAAGGCACGUGUUGGAGAGGUUCAUGCCUCUGACAUUCUUCACAACCGCGGGCAUAAGACUUGCAGUCUUUUUCCAUUUCGGGCCAAAAAUAACCGUACCUUCUGAGUAGCCAUCUCAUCUUUGUCCCUGCUUGAUGUGCUCCACAUAUUCCCUCAUGUACUUCGGCCAUCACUCUCAUGGAUUCUUCCUGACCUAAGCAUUUUAGCAGUAAUCCAUCUGGGAUUUUUCUUAGCAGGUUCUUCGCCCAUAAGACAUAUUUGGUUGCCUGCUGCCUAUUAUUCUUACUUGUAGGUGAAGAGGGAUCCUUUAAAUGAUGAAUGAUGGGUGCCCUCCAAUCUUCCAUCUUGGCUUCUAGAACCAUUGCAUCCAAACUAAAUCCCCGAUCUAAGAUGGAAGGAAGGUUUCUUGUUUGAAUCUUGACAUCUAUUCCAUACUUUCUCUCCUGUAUUGGCACUCCUGAGGCUAGUUGCGCCAUUUCAUUGGCUACCAAGUUAGAUCCCCUAGGAAUAUGAUUGACCGAUAUCUCAGAUUCCCAGAAACUUAACAAUUGUGUUGCUGCCAUAUAGUACCCCCGCCAUAGUGUACCCCGCCAUAGUGAUAUGUCUGCACUUGAACUCGCCAUUUAGCUGGUUUAUUACCAAUUCUGAAUCACCAAAGACUUCUACUUCUGCUGCCCCCAAAUCCAACAGGAUUUCUAGACCAAUAAUCAAUGCCUCAUACUCUGCCCGAUUAUUAGUAUUCUCCUGGUAAUGGAGCAGGAAUGAGUAAUAAUGAUAAACCCCCUGAGGAUUUAUAAUCACAAUCCCAGCCCCUGCAGCCUUCUGAGUGUGGGAUCCAUCGAAAUACAGCUUGCAAGGAGUAAUCCAGAUGCCUGUUACUCUUCUUAUCUCUUGCUGGAUCCAAUCUUCUUUGCCCGAAACAUCACUUCUUGGUGGUAUCCAAACGCUAGUAACCUCCAAACUUCCUGGGAUAUUGAUUACCUCACUUUGAGGUUCCUGAUGCUCGGUCAAGAAAUCAGCAAUUGCCUGGCCUUUGAUUGCCCGUUGAGGUACAUACUGAAAGCUGAAUUCUGACAGUGCUAGAAUCCACUUCCCAAUCCUUCCUGCUAGCAUAGGCUUUGACAACAUGUACUUUAUCACAUCUGUUUUGGCAAUGAUGUGUACGUGACAAGGUAACAUAUAAUGUCUUAGUUUGUUAGCAGUAAAAUAUAGAGCCAAACACAAUCUCUCCACCGGAGAAUAUCUUGUUUCUACCUCGGUCAAAAUUCUGCUGAGGUAGUAUACGGCCUGCUCCUUUCCACCUUCAUUAUUUUGAGCUAGCAAACUCCCAAUUGAUUUUUCUGAAGCAGAAAUAUACAGCUUCAAGGGCUUUCCCCUUUGAGGUGGUACCAGCAUUGGUGGAGAAGUUAGGUAGGCCUUGAUGCUGUCAAAUGCCUGUUGGUGGGUCAGCCCCUACUCGAAAUUCUCUUUAUCUUUCAAUCUUAGUAAAGGAGUCAGCGGCUGGAUUUUGCCCGCUAAAUUGGCAAUGAAUCUCCUCAAGAAGUUGAUCUUGCCUAGUAGCCUUUGAAGCUGCACUUUGUUGGUAGGUGGAGGUGACUCCAAUAUUGCCCGAGAUUUGUUCUUGUCCACUUCCACACCUCUCUGAUGAACCAAGAAUCCUAAGAAGUUGCCCGCUCUUACUCCAAAUGCGCACUUCUUUGGAUUCAUCUUCAAUUUGUGGAUCCGCAUCCUUAUCAAUGCUUGCCUGAGAUCUACUAGAUGUUGUUCUUCUGUUUUAGAUUUCACCACGAUGUCGUCGAUAUAUAUACCUCCAUGCUCUGGCCAAUUAGAUCAUGAAAAAUGGCAUUCAUUGCCCUUUGAUAUGUUGCGCCAGCAUUCUUGAGCCUGAAUGGCAUGACUAGAUACUCAUAUACCCCCACAUGACCAGGACACCUAAAAGCUGUUUUAUGAAUGUCAUCUGGAGCCAUCUUUAUCUGGUUAUAUCCGGCAUUUCCAUCCAUAAAAGAUAAAACUUUAUGCUUUGCUACUGCAUCUAUGGAUAAAUCAGCCAUAGGUAUGGGGUACUCAUCUUUUGGUGUAGCGCCAUUAAUAUUUCUGUAAUCAACACAACAUCGCACUGCUUUUGUUACAGCUUUUAAAACGGGCACGAUGUUGGCCAACCACUCCACAUAUUUGGCUGGUCUGAUAAAGCCAGCUUUCACUAGCCUUUCAAUCUCUUCUUUGACCUUUUCUUCUAUUUCCUUUGACAUCUUCGGUGGUGCUUGCUUGACCGGUUUUUAUCCUUCCUUGAUGGGCAUUCUAUGCUCUACCAAGGUUGGAUCUAACCCUGGCAUCUCGGUAUAAUGCCAAGCAAAACAGUCUUUGAAUUCUUGCAAAAGACAAAUAAUCCUGGCCCGAUCCUUGGCCCCUAAUAAGCCACUGAUCUGUAUUGGUCUUGGAUCCUCCUAUGUGCCUAGAUCAAUAACUUCCAAAGGAUCUUGAACUUCGGGUGAUGGCUUAUCAGGUUCUGCACAUAAAAAUUCGACCAACUCUGGGCUCUCGGGCAAGUCGUCUGGCCCAUCUAGGUUAUAUAUGCACUCGGCCAUUUGAAUGGCCUUAUCCAGUUCUUCACUGCAAGAUUCCUCUUCAUUUCCAUGCUGGCUGGUCGAAGCUUCUUCCUGCCAUUCUUGCUCCUCCUGCUCCCUCUCUUGUCUUCUUCCCUUCCCAUAUAUCAACAGUCUUUUAAUCAGGGAUCUGACUGCCAUGACCUGAUCUUUCUUCUUUUGUUCAGUCAUUGAUGGUGUAGGGAAUUUGGUAUGAGACAGGGUCUAUCCCACUUCUCUUUAGUAAGGAGCAUUCCUUGUUCCAAAAGCUUUUAGGUCGUCACCUUGGUAGGGCGGCCGUUCUUAUCAGCUCCUGAACAUCUCAAGAUUCCUACGUUGGGAUUGUAGAAACUUGCUUUCGCAACAUUGGCUGAGGGGAGGAACGGCCGUGUUUCGGCCUCUACUAUCUCCCAAAAGCCUGGUCCUUCAACACCCGCCUCAUGAUAUACAGCCACUUGUUGAUGAAGAGUGGAAGGUAUAGCUAAAUUUGAUGGAUCCAAUCUCUUCCGAGCAAGGCUCCGUAAGUGAAGGUGCAGUCCACCACAAAGAAUGCCAGCAUUAUCUUUUUGGAUCCCAAGUCCACCUCCAAAGGUAAUAUCCCAUGAGUCUUAGUGACAGCACCUGAGAAACUAGAUACCGUAAGGUCCGUGGGAACAAGAUUUUUCGUACCUCUCCCAAUCUUUCUCAUCUGCUUGGCCGGUAACACGUUAACAGCUGCUCCUCCAUCAAUCAAAAUUCUUUUGAAGGGCACACCCUCUAGGUAAGCUGAAACAUAUAUAUAGGCUUCAGAUGGUUGGCCAAUGAAAUACUCGGGCGGCUGAACACUAUCUCAUCUGUGUAAAUCCUUAGAGGACCACCUUUGGAUGCUUCUGAGGGCUCAGCCUUGCCCGAGUCUUCUUCUUCUAUUAUAUCCACGUUGACUUGUGCCAUCAUUGGCUCUGUUGUUAAGUAAUCACCCUCCAUAGUAGCAGGCUGAUCAGGUCUGGCACCAAACGUGGCGGAUAAUGUAUACGCCAUGUUGAUGUGGAAAUUACUGGGCUCAAGUACAUCCUUCUUUUUGCUCCCAAUUUGGUCCAUGAACUCAUCUAACCAGGCCAUCGCAUCGGCUGGAAGCAGAGGUUCUGGUAUCCCCUCCUGUUGUGGUUGAUCCAUGCCCUCGUACAGCGUUUGUUUUGGAACUUCACCGAAGGGAUCCACUGAUAGGAGCAUAUUUAUACGACUUAGUUAGCUUGUUUUCUUGCUUUUAAUUAGCUAAACUAUGAUAAUUAUAGUGUUUAAAGUUAUUUUCGUGCAAUUUCAGGUUUUAGUGUCAAAGUAUGCAAAAAGAAGCAAUUUGGAACAUUCUAGAGCAUUUUUGGGCCAAGAUUGGAUUGUGCAAGCAUGGAGGCAUGAGUAUGGACGAAUUUGAAGACAAAAGAGGCUACGAACAUGCUAAAAAUCUGGUGAAACAAAUACAAGUUGCAAGAAGGGAUAAAUUUCUAGAAGGAUUGACCAAAACUUCACUAAAAACCAAGAAACUCUUCAAUGCCGUGGGCAUUGAUUCACUUUCACCAGAAAUUUGAGUGAUGAUGAUGCAAUGCUUAAAUCACCAUGACAUGUGAGUGGAGGAUGCAAUGCUUAACUCACCAUGACAUGUGAAUGGAUGACUCAAUACCUAACCCACCAACAAUUCCCACUCUUUGCCAUGCUCACCUACUCAAUUCCACCAGAAUUUUGUGUUAAACAAGUCCAUCCUUUUCCUAUAAAUACCAUGGCAGCAACCUCAUUCAAAUCAUCCAGAAAUUAACCAUUCUCUAAGCCUUCCCUUGCCUCUCCCUACAUAUCUAAACCUUCCCCAUCCAUUCCUCCAUAUAACCAACCAUUCAACCACCAUAACCACCUUGUGCCGCCACCAUUGAAGGACAGGAGGAGUAGUGCCGUGCUUAUGCAAUCUGCAACUAUUAGAGUGUUUGGAAUUCUUUCUUCUUUUAAUUCUAUGUUCAUGUUUAAUUUAACUUGCUGUUCAAUUAUGUUAAACAUGUGGAACUAAUUUCUUUUUAGUUAGAGGCAAAUUUGAAGCCAUGGACAUAUGUUGGUUAUGAUUUGUUUUACUCCAGUUAUGAAUUCAUGAACUUUAGAUGUGGUUUACUUUUCUGUUUUGAUUAAGAACUUGUUUAUGUAUGUGGGUUGAGGGUCGACACUUAAUUUGCAUGCCUAAAACUUGAUGCUAGGAUAUAAGGGAAUUUCACCUAAUCGUUAUGAACUUAUAUUCAUGAGUAGUAAAUAUCGCUAGUCACAAUUGUGUUUAAGUAAACCCUAGGCUGGAUUAACAUGCGUAUUCCAUAGUUAUGAAUGCCUAGUCAAUGUUUAUGAUUUCCGUUGAACUUAAUGAUCUUUGUUGAAUGUCUCUAUCAUGCGUAUUCCAUAGUUAGGGACUUUGAUGAGGAAUAAUUUGGUUGUAAUGCGUAUUCCAUUCAAUCCAAUGAAUCUAGGGAAAUCUAAGAGUUAAUUUAAGCGGACCUAAUUAACUUGGAACAUUGUCAUUCAUCGUUUGUUGAAGUCAUAACUGGGAAUCAAAUUAUAUGCAUAUGUUCAUGUGUGGAUAAGGAACCCUCUAACUAGUUUCUCAUCAUUCUAUUUCAUCACAAUCUGUUUUGUUUUAAGUUUAUUUUCAAAGUUUAAAGUUUUAAAGUUCAAUUUUCGUCAAAACAAAACCCCUUGCUUUUAAGUCUUGCUUUUAGAGUCAAAACUUGUUUCCUUUAAAUCUUUUGAGUCUUUUUAAAGUUAUAUUUUCGUCCAAAUCACUUGUUAGGUCUAGAAUUGAAUCUUUUUGAUUGUUAUUUGCUGUUUUGAGUGGUUUAAGUUAGUUUUGAGUUUAUAGAGUCUUGUUUAAUAUUUUUAAAUUAAUUUAGAAUAGAUUAGCAAUCCCUCCUAAUCCCCGGCCUAGAACGAUACCCUACUUACAUCUAUACUACAAUUGUCAAAAAGAGGGUUAAUUUGUGUGUUAACUUAUUUUACGCACCAAAUUUUGGCGCCGUUGCCGGGGAUUAGCAACUUUGCUAAUCCCUUGGUUCUUUUCUUUUUGUUUAGUUUGUUUUUGUUUUAGUUUCUGACUUAAUUUUGUUUUCUUUGUUUUGUGUUACUUUUGAUAUUUGAUUUAGUUCUCUUUGUUUGAUUUCAGAUACUAGAGAAGUAAGAGAUGGAUUUUGCUAGCAUUCAAGUUCAAUUGGUGAAUCUUACUUCUCAAUUGUCACAGAUUGCCGAAAGUACCACAAUGCAAAGUGUCCCUACAUGUGGUGUGUCCUAUGGGCAAGAAUAUCCAACUCAUCAAUGUUCUCAAUUCGCUGCAAAUGAAGAUGCUUGGGGUUAUCAAGGCCAUAGCCAAUCAUGGGACAUGUUUUCCAACGCUUAUAAUUCGGAUUGGAGAGAUUAUUCGAAUUACAUGUGCAGAGAACCUCAACAAUUCCAACAUGAAGGAUAUUGGCAGCCAUAUGAGGAGUUCUAUUCAGGACCAAUGCAGCCACCACAACCUCAUAUACAAUAUGCCCAAUCAAACUCAGACUCGUCAAUAGAUUACAAUCAAAUUCUUAAUGAAUUAAACUCUAUGGUGCAGGGCUCACAACAAGAAGAAUAUCUGCCACCAUCGGAGGAGUUCUAUCAGUGGCCAUAUGAACCGUCACAGCCACCACAACAAUCAACCCAAUUCAAUUCAGGUACGUCCUUGGAUAAUGAUACACUUAAUAAUAAGUUACUCACCUCUUUGAAUCAGGGAGUAGAAAAUCAAAAACAGGAGAUGCAAGACCGAGUCAAAAGAGUGGACGAAUUGGAUAUGCAAGUUAGGCAGAUUGUGGAAUUCAUGGCACAGAUUCGAGAUCAAAGUGAACUUUCCAACUCAAACAUUGCAAAUUCAAAGGCAGAAAGUGAAAUCGAUGAAGCCAUCACUUUGGAAGGUGACAUGAAGGAUGAAGCUGUCCCAGAACCAUCCAAACACAGCCCGAACAUGGAUGAAUUGCUGCUGCAAGUAGAAGAGGAGGAGGACGACCUAGGCAGUUUAAAAGAAUUCUUGCUGCAAGCUCCUCAAAUCCCUAUGUCAUCCAACUCAGGUGAGGAAGUUCUAAAUUCACUUCAUUCUAACAUUAUUCCACCGAAUAUCCUUUGUCCUUGCAGGUUUUUUAUUCCAAAUAUCAAAGAGAGUGAAAAAAGACAUUGUGGAAGCUCUUCCAAAGGUGCAAAGUGAUAUCCCAAUUCUUGGUGCACCAAAACAAGUUUCCGAUGGUAUUGAAACGUUCAAAGAACCUUGCACACCAAGAAAAGGGAUUCAAGAAAAUGAAGUGGUUGAAGCAUAUCAAGAAUACAUCCAAGAGGCUGUGCAUGAGAUAAUCAAGCCCAAAGCAGUUGAGUUUGAUGACACGGGACAAGCCACAACCAUCAUAGUAAACCUAGCCAAGUUCAAAGUCCCGGAAAUGUUCAAAGAUGUGGUGUUUGUCAUUGAGUUUGUGUCAGAAAAAGAAAGUAAGCCAUCUUCUCCAAUUUUAAUUUUAAUUUAUACUAACAUGUUUCUGAUUUUGAUGAUUCAGGCACCCACUCUUGAAUUUAAACCAUUACCGAAUCAUUUCAAGUAUCACCUCCCAUUAAAAGAUAAAUUCUAUGCUUUGGAGCCGAGGGGAGUUUAAAGGAAAGAUUCAUCCGGCUAAAGACGUUAAAUCAAGCGCUUCUUGGGAGGCAACCCAAGAAUUCAACGAAGGGAGACUUUGGAAUCGCUAACCAAAUCCAAAUCAGAUUUGCAUUCUUACACCCUUAUCUUUACUGCUUUCAUUUUGUUUUGUUUAGUUAGUUGUGUUAUUUGGUUGAUUUCUGUGAGUUUGUGUUAUUUAGUUUAAGUGUGGGGGAAGGUUAAACAAAGUCUUUUUACAUUAAUUUACAUAUUUAAAAUAAAUAAAAAAUUAAAAAAAAAUAAAAAACACUGAAAAAAAAAAAAAACAUAAAAGUAAAAAUAUUUUACAAUGACGUGUAAACUAAUAGCAUUCAUUGGUCAGGUGGUGCUUCAGUAGUCGGCGGAGCUUCAGCAGUCGGCGGGGCCACGGAAGGAGGAGGUAUCGGAGGUUGAUCAGUUGGAGCUUCACUACGCGGUGCCGCCCUAGAAGACGAAGGCAGAUGCGGUUGGAACAAACCCACAAACCUCCGGUGAUCAAGUAAAAUCUGACCAUCAUUUUCCUGCAGCUGGUCAAUUUUCCUCUUCAUGUUUGUGGCAUAAUUGUGUGCAAGCUUGUGCAAUUGUUUAUUUUCAUGCUUGAGUCCUCUAAUCUCCUCUUUGAGACUCUGUAUUUCAGCCACCAACGAUUCAACGUGACGGGUUCGAGCAAAUAGGCGUUGGGCCAUGUUGGACACAGAACCCGCACACUACACGCUAAAAGCCAGAGACUCCUUAACCGCCAAUUCAUCAGACCGUCUAGCGAGCAGUCUGUUAUCUCUAGGGGUGACAAGGUUCCGGGCCACCACCGCAGCGGUCAUGUCAUUUUUCAUCACCGAAUCCCCAACGGUGAGAGGACCAGUAGGGGAUAUGAAAGAUGGGCGCCAUAUGUUGUCUGGUGAAGGCGGAGCUGCCUCUUCACCAAUGUUCAAGUCAAAACGACGAUCGGAAGGGCCAGACAUUUUUCAGAAUGGUAAAGAAAAAAAGAGAUCGGACAGAUUAAGAUUUUGGAAGUGCAAGAAGGGAGUGUUUACAAGAUGGAGCUCAAGUGUGUUGUGGAACAAAAUUAGCGCCUCUAUAAAAAGAAGAAAUCGAAGAGGCGCUCCUCAGAAAUCGAAGAAGCGUCCUCUCGCAAAUCGAAGAGUCAGGGCUCCUUUCUCAAAAGCCGGAUUCUUUUCUCAAAAGAGGCGUUUCAUUUUUCUUAAAAGUUGGGCUUACUCAGAAACCACGAGCCGAACCCCGGAUUUCAAAAGAUCAAUUUGUCCAGACGUGUCGUCACUCGUCACAUGCAACUAGCAGCUUUGCGGAAAUUACGGGCAGCUUUGUCAGAAAUCGCGUAAUUUGUACUAUUCAUCCAUCCACCGGCUGCCGACAAUGAGUGAGGGAAUAGUUCCGGUUGUGAAGAAAAGUCCUAUAAGUAUCUACCUUCGCCUUCCCACAGCAAAGGCACACCCUCUCAACACUUCUUCAUCUCCGAGAAUCCAGCACCUGCUCUCGAGUACUCAUCAUCUUAUGCUUCCGCUUCGUCUCUCACGUAUAAGGGAAGUCAAGAUGAUACCUCGAAGCAUGUGGAGACAACGUGUUGAUUCAUCCUCAACUAGGGACAAGGAGAAAGAAAGCAAGAGGUGGGCACUUGGAAAGAUUGAAGAAAGAAACAGACCAACACCUCUCCCUCGUGCCUGCCCGUCGUGCAGAAGAAACAAGCAGAGAAGAAUGCAGCUUGCACAAUCAUCCCAGCAGAAGGAGUCUGAGAUGAAGAACUAGAGAAGCUGCCACAUCUGCUUGGGAGAACAAAUAAGGAACUGCAACAUCACCAAAGAGCAAAGCUUCGCCGUACAAUAUCAUCAAAUCAUCACUUGCAAGUAAAAAGCUAAGUGUCACCCCGUUCAAGAGGAAAGCUGUGGAAAGUCAACAAGCACGACCAAUGAUCACUUAUUAGUUCUAUUGAUUGUCUUUUAUCGUGAUUUUCAAUUUUUCGUUUGCAAUUUUUUUUACAUUUUCUUGCGUUACUUAACUGAAUUAUUUCUUUUCUUUGUAGGAAUUUUUGGUUAUUUCCACCCUUGAAGUUGAUUGCAGAAUUUUAGCUUGGGGGGUCAUCGCUUGGUUUUACUGCAAACUAGGGAAGUUUUCAUUCCAAUUGCUUUAUUUUGUUUCUUAUUAUUUAUUUAUUUUAUUUAUAUUUGCAUUAUAGUGUUUUCUGACAUUGAGGACAAUGUUUGGUUUAAGUGUGGGGGGGGUAAACAAGCUAUUUUUGCAUGAAAUUCGUGGGAUUUUAUCACCUAUCACUUCACAUGUUGUUUCUCAUUGUUUUAAAGUGUUUUUAGUGUUUUGAUGUGUUUUAGUGUUAUAUAACAGAAAACCCUAGAAAAAAUUCGAAAAAGUUUGAAAAAUACCAAAAAAGAGUCGUUUUUGAGUCAUUUUUUGUGUUUUAGGGUACCUUCCAACACAAUGAUGAGGAUUUGGUUUUUAAUUGCAUAACUGUUGAAGUAAGUUACAAUCAUGGAUGAAAGUUUGAUAUGCUCUUUGGUUUAUGCUUAGUUGUAAUUCAUGAAUUCACAUGUAAUCAAAAGAAAAAUUAGUUUUUGUAACAUGCUUGAAGGAAGAAACUCAAACUAACGCUACAACCCUGAGAGACUUGAGCUUUUAACGUUCUUUGGAGAGUUAAUAAUCUGUGCAUUUUGUUGUCUUCUAAAGUCGUUGCAUGAUCUCAUUAUUCUUUGCUUGGUUACUACUUAGAAGGCGUUUCAUCAUUUAGUUCCAAAUACUAGAACUCAUGCCCGUUUCAUUCAAAGCAUAAAAUUGAUUCGCAUAACACAUAACAAGAUGAAGUUGUUAGUAAACCAAGAACCAAAUAGCCGCACCCCAUGUUCAUUUGUUUUGUAGGUUUAAGCCCCGUUGAGCCUUGUUUAGCCUAUGUUCUUUGUUAACCCACGUUAUCCUUACCUAGCCUAGAAUAGGACCAUCCAUGCCUUUGUUCUUAAAGCAUAGUGAACAUUACUUAGAAUGAAUUCCUUUUGAUUAUUCUUGUGUAGAAAAACAAGUGUGGGGAAGGAAUUUAUGUGUGGGAAUUUGUGCCAAAAGCAAGAAUUGGGUACGAAAAAAAAAAAAAUAAUAAUUAUGGCAAAGAGGUCAAAAUAAGAAAGAACUCACAAGUGUUGGUUGUUGAAGAAAUGGUCCAAAAAGUUAAAUUAGACCCUAAAUAUUGUGUAUUUCACCCCCUUGUGUGUCUAAGUGAUUUUCUGCACGCAAAAGUGAAUUCUAAGUGUCAAAUUCAUUACUUGUUUGCUAUCGCUUGAAGAACUUUUGUUUAUCCUUAACCUUUCUUUGUUAGCCAAUACCCCUUAG